rnacentral:lncRNA from 1 species
CGCACUAUUAGGGUUAUUUUAAAUUAACUCGCAUAUUCCCCUGACACAAAUCUAAUCAUGCCAGUUGUCACAUUUCAAUGCAAUUAAAUAAUUACGAAUUUAAUGCCCUAAUUGACAAUAGAUUACCAAAUUAACUAAUUAUCCGGAUCCAAGACAAUUGAUUAAUUGGACAACCAUAAACAUUGUAAUCAAAGAAUAUGCGAAUAUUAAUAAAUAAAAUAAAAAGAUAAAAUUAAAUCGAUCUCACAAUUUUCAGACAAAUCAAAGCAUCCGUUGUUCCUUGACUAGACAAAGGGAUUUAGCUCAUUGUCAGAUGAGAAAAACCCAUACAAAACUGAAGAGAAAGUAGCGGCCAUUGUCCUUCGAUUGAGAAAGGCUCACUCCGUUCAAUUGAUGAAAGAAAACGUAAAAUACAGAAAGUGACUAAGUCCUCCAAUUGCUCCUGACAUGCCGUAGGAGGAAUCCACCAAAGACCAAAAGGAAAAGUCAAAAGAAAAGCUAAGCGAAGAGUCCCUGCCACACGAAGAAGGAAAAGCAACUAAAGAAAAGUAAAAAACCUAAGCUUCAAAGUAGUCUGCUCUAUUUCUUCUCUAAUUCUCCCCUGCUACUGUGCGGCGGCCAAGGAAAAGAAGACUCC